rnacentral:misc_RNA from 1 species
UGCAAAUCAAGUAUUCAAGCA